rnacentral:lncRNA from 1 species
AGCUCUUCUCAAAGGGAACGUACCCUUUGACUCCCAAAGAAAUAAUGCGUAAAUAGAAUCCUUUAUGCAUACGCGGAAAAGUGAUUUACGUAUUUCAUAUUGUAAUAAAAACAUUGAUAUGAGUUGUACCUAGAACGGUACAAGACGAUAUCAGUGCAAGCCCAGGAUCAGAACCAUGGCAACUGUCAAGUGAGUCCUUAAGUAUUUAAGAAAUACUAAAGAGAUAAUCAGAUAUCUCUUUAUUAUGACUAAAGAGAUAUUUGGAUGGAAACAUUAAAAGUAAUGACUUUAGUGUGUUUCAUUAUGAAUGCAAAAUAUAUUGCCUUAUAGAAGCUUACAACAAUGUUGUUUGGAUGGGAAAGUUCAUUUAUGAACUUUCUAUUUGGUUCCAACCAGAAAGUGUCUCUAGUGUACCGACACUACGACACUAAUGGGGUGAUAGCUCAAGCCAGGGAAUCAAGGUCUCAUCAAGAUCCGAACUCAAAUGAGAGACUGAACCACAUGAUUGAGAAUCAUGUAUAAUGGUGACGUCGUUAUUCUCAAGGUUGCUUCUAUGGAUAACAUAUAGAUAUCCAUUGUCUAGGCCUACUACUCAGCCAUUUUUGAAAUGACUAAAGAAGAGGUAUCAUCACUGAUGACCAAGCUGAUUGGCUCUAGUGCAAGU